AGGGCUGGGGCAACUGGAGGCAUGCCUGUGCUGCUGCUUGCAGGGAAGGCCUGGGCUCCCCGCUGCAGAAGGGCUUUUGCUGUCUCUGACAUGUGUCUGCCCUCCCUCCGCUGUCUGCGAGAGCAGGAGCACACUCUGCACUCUCCGUCUGCGCCGGCUGCUGGAGGUGCCCCUGUCCUUGGGUAUCUAGUGUCUUCAGGUGUCCAGUCUCUUCUUCACAAUGAAUAGGCAACCGCAUGUACUGGGUCACUGAAAACCUAGAAGCAGUCAGAGGAAGGAUGUGCUCUGAACCUCCUGUUCUUCGCCCUGCCUGCCCACCUUCAAGCAUAUCUCUGACUACACCCACGUGUCUUCCUGCCCUAGUGGAAGAAAUUUACUGCCUCCAACAUGAAACUCGUCCUGCUAGUUAUGCUCUGGACCCCAACCCCGGGCUUCCCAGGUAACCCUCUCCAUCAACUUCUCCAAAUCUCCAAACUUCUUCCCACUGAUUUUCCAUCAGCUCCUAAACACAUUCAGCAUCUUUCAGCCAUCCACCGUCACUUUGCUCCAUGCCACUUCUAGCUUCUACCCUAGCUCUUUCCCCGUUUCAACCAUAUUUUGUUAAUAAUUGUGCUGUAUAUAUAGUGACUGUUGUCAAAAAUAGUGACAAUAUAGAG
rnacentral:lncRNA from 12 species